AUCUGCCCCAUAUUUAGAAAAAUAGAUUCUUGAACCUCUUUCACGCUCAUGUCACGUCGAGGUACUGCAGAAGAAAAAACUACAAAAUCCGAUCCAAUUUAUCGUAAUUGAUUAGUUAACAUGUUGGUUAACCGUAUUCUGAAACACGAAAAAAAAUCAUUGGCUUAUCAGAUUAUCUAUCGAGCCGUGAAAAAGAUUCAACAAAAGACAAAAACAAAUCCACUAUUUGUUUUACGUCAAGCAAUACGUGGAGUAACUCCCAAUAUAGUAGUAAAAGCAAGACGUGUAGGCGGAUCGACUCAUCAAGUUCCCUUUGGCAGCAUCCACUAAUUCAGAACUUAAUUUGAAAGCCAUAAUUCGACCCGGACGUUUUUGGGAUGCCCCUAAUAACCAACGAAUGGCAAGUACUUUUCCUUGUGUAGAUCCUAUUUCAAUGGGAACUUGAUGAGUCGAUCUGCCUACACGUCUUGCUUUUACUGCUAUAUCAGGAGUUACUCCACGUAUUGCUUGACGUAAAAUAGAUAGUGGAUUUGUUUAUGUCUUUUGUUGAAUCUUUUUCAUGGCUCGAUAGAUAAUUUGAUAAGCCAAUGAUUUUUUUCCGUGUUUCAGAAUACGGUUAACCAACAUGUUAACUAA